rnacentral:rRNA from 1 species
UACAGAGGUCUCAAGCGUUGUUCGGAUUCAUUGGGCGUAAAGGGUGCGUAGGCGGCUUGUUAAGUCAGGGGUGAAAUCCUGGAGCUCAACUCCAGAACUGCCUUUGAUACUGGCGAUCUCGAGUCCGGGAGAGGUGAGUGGAACUGCGAGUGUAGAGGUGAAAUUCGUAGAUAUUCGCAAGAACACCAGUGGCGAAGGCGGCUCACUGGCCCGGUACUGACGCUGAGGUGCGAAAGCGUGGGGAGCAAACAGG